rnacentral:tRNA from 1 species
AGGGAUGUAGCGCAGCUUGGUAGCGCCUUUGUUUGGGGUACAAAAUCUCACGGGUUCCAAUCCUCUCAUCCCUA